rnacentral:lncRNA from 1 species
GGGCAUUUUGUUCACUGUAACUAAAAAGUAAUUAGUAGUAAGUAAAUUUGUACGAAGUGUUUUAUUUGCUGACCCACUGCUGCUGUAACAAAAUAAUUUCCCAGUCUGGGAUCAUUAAAGUAAUUCUAUCUAUCUAUCUAUCUAUCUAUCUAUCUAAUUUAUUACUCUAUGAUUACAGUACAUUGUUAUAACAUAUUACAUUAAAAUCAAGGUAACUAGUAGUAUCUAAUAUAUUGCAUUUCAAAAAUAAUGUUAACGUUGAAGACAUUAUGAGAUGGUAAGUAAGAUGUUUUUAUUUUGAGGGGGUCUUUUGUAUUUCUGAUAGUAUAUCGGAGUAUCUAGGUUGUACACAGUCAAAGAAAUUGUCUACAAAAAGUCAUUGUAUUUACUUUAAUAUCUGUAUUUUGCAAUAAAAUUCACAUAGGGUCAGAAUUUGGUGCAACACCGGAACCAACGUUUUUGUUCCCUGUUUGCACCCGGUUGUUUUCCGACUUCCUGAUGUCUUCGUGUACGAAGACGCCACCUCUAGUUGUGGCUGCAGUCAAGCUCCCUACAAAAUGAACUAUCGUCGGAUAAAAGGACUUUCACAAAAGCCAAAACAAGGCAUCAACAUGCAGAAAUCCUCAGAGCCUGUGGAGGAGGAGGAUGAGAACAGUGGCAUCCUACACAUGCUCACGCAAGUUUCAUCGGUGACCAACAUGAUGUCUGGGAAGGCGUUUGUCAAAAUGAGAUGGCUGAUACUGCAGCAGGAUGAUGGAAGCCUGCUGGAGAGUGCCAGAGCUUCACCCUCUGCGUUUGGAAGCUCUAUGAGGGAGGAACCAGUCUUUGUUGUAAACAGUUCCUCGAUGUGGUGAAUGAGAUCAUAGGCUUCUUGGGAGGGGUGGCAACUUGACUUCUCUUGGUUUUUGCAUUGUUUUUCCUGAUCUGUGUUCUCUUUAAAAAAAAUCGUAAACUUCCCAGUGGUGUGGUAUUUGAAAGUGCAAAUGUAUUGUUUGAAUAUGAUUACCUCACAUAUUUUUUUGUUAUCAAAAUUUUGUAGGUGGUUAAAUUGCUCCUUCCGAAUUUAGAAUAGAAUAGAAUAGAACAGAAUUACUUUAUCGAUCCCGAUUUAGCCACCCAUGUUUUUCUAUACAUGCACACGCCUUUCUCCCAGCGAUCAGAGCAUCCCCAUGCAGCACAGCACACCUGGUGAAGACUGUAUUCAAGUACAACACAGCAGAAAGGACACAAACAGCUUGACGUGCUUAUCUGUUUGACUAAUUCAGAUACUGUUUUUAAGGAAUUCAUUGUGGUAUUAAAUGCAUUGGGAAAAUCAAGACUGUGUGAUUUAUAAUGCAUCAAUGAGUAGAGUAAGUUUGGAAUAAGUAAGAAUAGUUAACAAAUAGUGCUAGAAUUCCAUUUAUUUGCAAUGAAUUCAAAUAAAAAUUUUAAUUAUUUGCCAUGGAUUUCCUAGUAGAACACAGAUAUCAUCAUAAUGCUGCUGUGAGUCCAGACUUGUCAGUCACCUGUUAGCCUCAGAGUGACCGCGAGCGCUCAGAGAGUGACCGCAAGCACGCAGAGAGAGUGACCGCAAGCACGCAGAGAGAGAGUGACCACGAGCGCUCAGAGAGUAGUCAUUAUGCGUGCUGAUUAUGGUUUUAUGCACGCAGAUAUUGGCACUGAAAUGACUCCAUAUUAAUGUCCUACUCUGAUGCAUGCGUCAGUUUGAGAGGCUGAAAUAAAUGGGACAGUCCUCUGCCUUUAGUUGCAACAGCCUUUGAAGUGGACCGUGGUUUGUUCGAGGUCCGACGCCACAAAACCAAACUACUAACGAGACAGUGUCUUUUUAGGUAACGUUACGGUCUCUUUGCUUGCUGCAUGUUGUUUUUGUUUCUCUGUGGAAAGUCAAUGCGGGGGAGGGCGGAGCCCACUAUGAACUACGGGAGCCUGUGGGGAGCGGUGGCAGAGCAAGUUAAAGAGAAAAUCGAUUUUAUUUUUUAAAAUCAUCCUAAACCAAAAAACUUGAAUUAAUCGAUUUUGCCGAUUUAUCGCCCAGCCCUAAGCAUUAUGAAGCGAGAACCAGUGGGAUAUCCCUAAACCUCUGUUGACCCAGGUUAAUUUAUGAUCACUCUUUUUUAUGCAUUUCUCUCCAAGUCAAAUUCCUGUGUACUCUGUACAUUUGGCAAAUAAAAGAGCUGGUCAUACUAUCGACGAGUGACACCGCCUGAGACGCCGCCUGUGACGCACAUCGGGACUUCCGUGAG